GACGAACGCUGGCGGCGCGCCUAACACAUGCAAGUCGAACGAGCGAGAGAGAGCUUGCUUUCUCGAGCGAGUGGCGAACGGGUGAGUAACGCGUGAGGAACCUGCCUCAAAGAGGGGGACAACAGUUGGAAACGACUGCUAAUACCGCAUAAGCCCACGACCCGGCAUCGGGUAGAGGGAAAAGGAGCAAUCCGCUUUGAGAUGGCCUCGCGUCCGAUUAGCUAGUUGGUGAGGUAACGGCCCACCAAGGCGACGAUCGGUAGCCGGACUGAGAGGUUGAACGGCCACAUUGGGACUGAGACACGGCCCAGACUCCUACGGGAGGCAGCAGUGGGGAAUAUUGCACAAUGGGGGAAACCCUGAUGCAGCGACGCCGCGUGGAGGAAGAAGGUCUUCGGAUUGUAAACUCCUGUUGUGGAGGAAGAUAAUGACGGUACUCAACAAGGAAGAGACGGCUAACUACGUG
rnacentral:rRNA from 1 species